rnacentral:rRNA from 1 species
CGCCUGGGGAGUACGGUCGCAAGAUUAAAACUCAAAUGAAUUGACGGGGGCCCGCACAAGCGGUGGAGCAUGUGGUUUAAUUCGAUGCAACGCGAAGAACCUUACCUACUCUUGACAUCCAGAGAACCUUUUAGAGAUAGAAGGGUGCCUUCGGGAACUCUGAGACAGGUGCUGCAUGGCUGUCGUCAGCUCGUGUUGUGAAAUGUUGGGUUAAGUCCCGCAACGAGCGCAACCCUUAUCCUUGUUUGCCAGCACUUCGGGUGGGAACUCCAGGGAGACUGCCGGUGAUAAACCGGAGGAAGGUGGGGACGACGUCAAGUCAUCAUGGCCCUUACGAGUAGGGCUACACACGUGCUACAAUGGCAUAUACAGAGGGCUGCCAACUCGCAAGAGUGAGCGAAUCCCAUAAAGUAUGUCGUAGUCCGGAUUGGAGUCUGCAACUCGACUCCAUGAAGUCGGAAUCGCUAGUAAUCGUGGAUCAGAAUGCCACGGUGAAUACGUUCCCGGGCCUUGAACACACCGCCCGUC